CUAUAUAAACCACUCAAUUUUGUGUUCUUAGCCAAUAGUAAGUAGUUAUAGAUCCUGAUAGGUAGUACUAAGAAGAUUUCUAGCAGAACAUCUUUUCACGAGAUCAAUCAUGACGACUUAUCAUCAGAAUAGAAAAGUGUCUUCGUUGGUCCGAUCAAUCACAUCUCCUUUCAGAAAAGCUCGACGAACUUUGUUCAAUCAACAAUCACCUAGGGAUAAGAAGUCUCAACAAGAAGGGCCGGAGAACCAUAUAGUAAAUUUGCAAGUUGAAGUAAUGGCUUGUCCAUAUGAAGAUGUUCAAGUGAUGUGGUCAAUUUUAGACAAGUCCAAUCCCAGAAAUUGAACCUUUGUUUUUUCGCAUUAGUUUGUUUGGAGAAUAUAUCAAUAAUCAAGCCAAUCUGUAUAUACUUGAUUGUUAUCUUGUUGAUGUGGUGGCUAUAAUCUGACGCCCAAAAACAAGAUUUGGAAAUUGUUAUUGCCUCUAGUUUGGUAUUUUCCCCUACACAAAGAAGAAAAAGGAGAAGAAAAAGAGAUAGAUAGUUGGUUAGGUAGAGAAACAGUUGACAAAUUGGUUGUAUUCAAGCUCAGACUUGUUUUAAUACCAAUUUGUUUUUUCUUUUUUUCAGCUAAUCCUCAUGAUUAAUGGAAAAUCAUGGAGAGAUUUUACUGUAUUGGAUUUGCAUUAAUAUCUAAAACCGUUUCAAUUUUACAUUCAA